rnacentral:rRNA from 1 species
ACAGGGAGGUAGUGACAAGAAAUAACAAUACAGGACCUUUUGGUUUUGUAAUUGGAAUGAGUUAAGUAUAAACCCCUUUACAAGUAUCAAUUGGAGGGCAAGUCUGGUGCCAGCAGCCGCGGUAAUUCCAGCUCCAAUAGCGUAUAUUAAAGUUGUUGCAGUUAAAAAGCUCGUAGUUGGAUUUCUGUUAAUAAUUUAUAUAAUAUAUUUUGAUGAAUAUUUAUAUAAUAUUAACAUAAUUCAUAUUACUAUUUUUUUUUAGUAUAUGAAAUUUUACUUUGAGAAAAUUAGAGUGCUUAAAGCAGGCAUAUGCCUUGAAUACUCCAGCAUGGAAUAAUAUUAAAGAUUUUUAUCUUUCUUAUUGGUUCUAAGAUAAGAAUAAUGAUUAAUAGGGACAGUUGGGGGCAUUUGUAUUUAACAGUCAGAGGUGAAAUUCUUAGAUUUGUUAAAGACAAACUAAUGCGAAAGCAUUUGCCAAGGAUGUUUUCAUUAAUCAAGAACGAAAGUUAGGGGAUCGAAGACGAUCAGAUACCGUCGUAGUCUUAACCAUAAACUAUGCCAACUAGAGAUUGGAGGUUGUUCCUUACUCCUU